AAUAUAGCUGCAUUUUUAGUUUGUUGUAUUGAAGUGCUGCAGAACUCAGGGUUUGUGAGUCUGUGACAUGGAUAAGAACUAAUAAACAUCUGAGUCCCAACUAGAAAUAUCUCACACAUUUAAUCCCGACCUUGGCAAAAAAGAAUCAAAGACUUGCAACAUUGGUGUCAGCCCUGGAAGUUCGAGGUGCAGGAAUGCCAGGAGUGCCAGAGCUGCUGGAGGUGCAGGAAUGCCAGGAAUGCCAGAGCUGCUGGAUCCUGUCUGGAGGCACAGCCUGAGCCCAGGAGAGCCUGCUCAGGCAGCAGGUAAACCUGGGAGUCUGCCAGAUCCCUCCCAGCUACAGAACUGCAUCAUAAAACCCCCGUGUGGACACAGCACCUUUAUCAUCUUCACUCCUCCUUAUCUGGUCAGGACCACCUCCCGCCCUGCAUGGCUACAGAAACCACAGCUGGAACCUGUGCUUG